UCAAUAAACAAAAAAUUGUAUUGCAAAGAGGCGCUAAAAUAGCGACCCUCAUAAUUACAGUAUAGAGACACUCGCCCCCUUACAAAAGGGCACAAAACAAGGAAAAAACAAAAAAAAAAACUUCUCCCUCAUCGUGAACCCACCCAAACUACAAAAUCUAUUAAGGUCGAAGGACCAUCUUUUAUCCACAAUUUGGUUUCUGACCAAAGUAAAUACACAAAAGAAGCUUUCAGCCUUUGGAAUAAUUUUCAGGCAAAUAACUAGCAGUCCCAAACUGACAUCUUUCAGUGCAAAGAUUUACCCAUGACAAGCAAGAUCCAUCUAUUUUACAUGGUCAAAGGUGUCAUUAGUUUAUUGUACCAACGCCUAAAAUCUCAAUUUUGAUGGACGUCUGAUUCCCAAAGUGACAAAGCUGAUGACAUUGCACAGUGGGAUUCAUUAUGGAUUCUAAAUAAUUUAGACUUUGAUGUGUCAUUUUCCUGCAUCUCUGUAUUUUCAUUCUCUUACACUCAACCAGCAUUUGUCGCUAACAGAACAGUUCCAUGCAACUAUAAAUGAAAAGAGAGAAAUAAUAAAAUAAAAGAGCAGUGUAUGGCACCUUUUACACUCCCUCAUUCUCCCUGUAAGUUCCUCCAGCUGUUUACUUUGUCUAUUGGGAUCUUUAAUCUUAUCCAGCUUCUGGAAGCCAUUUCUGAACACAGAUAAAAGUCAUCAUAAAUAUAACACAAUAAUCCUUGCAGUAUAUCUGGCUAAUUUGAGAUAAAUAUAUAAAUAUACAUAUAAGGCUAAUUGAAAACACGCAUACACACACACACACUAAUAUUAAAGAAUGAAAUGCUCAAAAGAAUGGAAGAAAAGGAAUAAAGAAUGAGACAACCUUUUGACAUUAAGAAACUGAAACAGGAUAGAUACCAGUGCAAAUAAAAGAACACCAGGCAACCAGAAUGUGGAAGUAGAACCAGAACAUUUAUGUCAUAAAAGAAAAAAAAAGAAGGAAAACACGAUUGUCUGUCAUUGCAAAGAUAAAUGAAGCACCAUAGCAUCUAUUAUAUUCAUAUUUUCCACAAAAAUAUCAUAUUUGCAAUUGCUUGUUCAACAUCAAGAAAAGAUCAUACUACAUUGCGAUUUGUAUGGGUGGGAGUCAUUUUGCAAGACAAAGGAAAAGCAUGCUAAAACAAACUUUAUGCUUUGACAGAUGCCAAAAACAGAAAAGAUACUAAACUGCACCUUACAUUUUGGUAAAAGGACAGCAGCCCCAGUGUGUCAUAUGACGUGAUCAGCAUUAUUGAAUUCUCUAAUACUUUCAUGCUAUUUCCAUUUUUCCUUUUUAUGAAUUCAAUUUAUGAAAUCUUUUUUUUUCCCCAUUAGUUCAUGAUAUACUAGUACCUGACCCAGUAUAGUUAAAUUAAGGUUUGAUUCAGUUGAAUUGUAGGGUUCUGAUUGGAACCUCAGAGGUAUGCCCUAUAGAAGAAUAUUCGGUCCUUAACAAAAAAUGCCCCAUAUGAAUGUAAAUUCAAAACAUGUGAAAUUAGAUCCUCUUAACCCAUAUUUUCCUUUCCAUAAUUAUUGGAUUAUUAUCCAUUUCUCCAAUAUUAAGACAUACAGAUUGGGAUGGACCCUUUAAGGUUUACUCAUUAAAGAAAGAGAAGUUAAUCAAGGAAAUUGUAACUCUUAAGCUACUCCAUCAAGAGUAUUUGGGUAAUUUUCUAGAGCUAGAUUGUCAGGGAGUCAAUUUAAUGGUAGUUAUUUGUUGAAGUCUUGUACAAAACUUAAAGUGCUCUUUGUUUUAAUUACUUAUUUUAAUAAUUUUAUGGUUUUAAACUUUUCAAAUCUUCUAUUUUCAAAAUGCUUUUAUUUUUCAGAAGGUUUCUAUUUCUUUUAGUUCAAUUAUUUGGAAUUUAAGAGUUCAAUAGAAGAAUUUGGAACUCCAAUGAAUUACUACAUAGAUCAGGUUUCAUAUUUGAUAGGUUGAUAAGGUUUUUGUGUGUGUGUGUGUGGUGGGGGGUUUGUUUCUAAAGCCUAUAAACAAAGUUAUUUGAUGUUAAGGACAAUAAAUGAUGAAUGAUAAUAAUUUUUUAAACCAUUGCACCCUUUAACAGUGAGCAGCAACCUAAGUAUGAAAAAUCCUCACACAAUUUGGUAUCAGGUGGGUGGUGCACCUCACGCCAUGCUGUUGCACAAGAUAAUUGGAAUACUUUGACAUUAACUCCAUAAGAUUUUUUUUUCUUCGUUUUUUAAUUUCCCCCCUUUGUUGGGUGACAAAACUGGCAUGCGGCACAUGUUUUGUGGCUUCAGACCCUCCAUUGGAUGAAUCCCACUCAACAUAGUGAAGAUGCUAAAAAUAAUCAUGAUCUCACUAGGGAAUAUAAAUAUUGAAAUCUAUCGCAGUCAAAUCUGCAUUUUGAUUACGCCCAACAAUCAUACAAAAUUAAUCUCUCACUUGGCAUGAACCAAAGGUACACCUCCACUAGUCAAUCAUAAUACUGCCAAGCCUCAAAACCUGCUAACACUCUUUUUCUUCCUUCACAUGGAGGCUGUAGCAUUUUCCCCUCCUAUGAAAUAAUCAAUAAACAAUAAAUUGAGUUUAUCCUAGUAAGAAAAUGCUCUACUGGAUAGUUUUCAUUUAGCCUUUCAAAUUCUAAGAACCAAAAGUACUUUUGGAGUUUCAAUUCUCUAAAUUUUGAAACUCAGUUAUGUGUUAUCUACAUAAAUAAGUGGCCAUUAUCUAAUACAAUCAUUAGUAGUCUAUUUCAAGUAAUGUCAAAACCUUCUCCAAAACACACACCAUAAGUUUCACAGUCAGAAGCCACAUAUCCCACUAAAUUGAAAGAUUAAUGGAAAUAAUAAAGUCCCUACUGCAUGUAAUGAUACAAAAUUGUCACCAUUCUUUUUCUCUAGAAUUCGUAAAUCUCAAUCAGAGUCAUGCACCCUUCAGUGAUUAUCAGCACUAGUUUGCCAUGAUGAAAUGAGAGCUCCCAAUUCUGAUUAUUAACAACCAAUAACUAAACAUUAUAGGAGUAUAGUAAUGACUGAACUGCGGUAAAGUGCUCUUAAUCCACAUCUUUGAGUAUAAUUAUAUCCAGAAUAGCACAACACACAGGGCACCAGUUGGAAAACCAUUUUAGUCUCACAAGCCGUAAGGAGGUAAACUUUGUGAAAGACAAACCUAAAAUUACAUAAUCACUGAAAGUGUAUUUCUCUAUUUCCCCUUGGCUAAGCCUGUAUACAAAAACCAAAAGUUUUUCUACACCGGUCUCUAAAGAAAGCUACUAACCACCCCCACCCCCCCAAACGCCAGAGAGAGGAGCUUAUGAGUUCUAUAAAGUAUAUAAACAAACCAAAAUUAGUACUACUCAUCUAUUCUUUUGAUAGGUGAGUAAAAAAUUUAUUUCUGCAAGAUUUGUAGUGUGAAUAUAGCAUUCCUGGUUCUCAGUUGUCAGAACUAAGAAUUUCAUCAGCAGAAGUAAUGCCCUGGGUUAAAUGGCAAUGAACGAAACAAAACCUACUGGAAAAAUCAGGGGAACACAGUAUCCACGUUCCAAAUCCAAUCAUCGAAACAUACGGCAUGAUUCGAGAUCGCCAGAUUCACAAAUUACAAUAAUCGACAAAGUCGAUAAACAACAACAACCAAAUCAAAGAAGGUGUAGAACAGAAACAUUACAGUUGAUAAACAAAACGAAAAGAAAAGGCAAAAGAAGGAAACGGAGAGAGAGAAAAGAAGAGAAACAUACGCGAGAGCGCGAAAAUUAUCGCGAAUUUCACCAUGGAUCUGCUCCAACUGAGGCGUCAUCUGCAAGUCGGUGGCCAUUUUCAGAGCCGGAACGACUACUCUUCACGCCACCUACUUCACAGCAUUACAAUCGAUGCAGUUGCCGCAGAAACCCUAACCGCACCUCCGAUUUCAAAAUCAAAAACACAAUUGAAAAAAUCGAAAAAGAAAAUCAAAAAGGUAAAGAGUUGGUUGUGAAAAAGAAAGAAUUUCAGAUUUGUAAGGAUGACAAAAAAAGCCUGGAUUGAUGCGAUUCAAGGAGAGAGAAUCGCUGUCUCCUAACAGACUGUUUUUCCAAACCUCGCCUUAUGUUUAUUUUUUCUCAUAUAUUCUUUAUGAUUAAGUUAUUUAACUAAUAGAUAUUAUAAUAUUGCUAAAUAUGGAAGAAAAAUUCUCCGCGCAGUAUAACGCACCAGAUUCUAACGUGAGCCGGCCCCGAUCUCGCGAUAAAUAGCAAAUGUUUUGAAGAGUGGCGAGCAAACAGUUGAAACUGUACCACGUAAUACAUCCGUCAUUCAGUACACGUGGCGAGCAAAUGACGAGGUGGAGAGGGAUUGGAUACCAGUCGAGUUGUUGAAAAUAGGGAGGGGAGACGGCGUAUGUUAGCAAGAGAUAUAAAAAUAAUUGGAAAUUUUUUAUUAUUUUUUUGAAUUAGGAACGGGGAGGUGGAAAUGCGCUGUCUAACGGCCAAUGUGGGUGCGGUGGGGUGGUGGCCCACCUACCAUUUUCAUUGGGGGCAGAGCUAUCCUGUGGGCGUUCCUUGUGUCCACCAGUAUCAACAAUAAGAAGACCAAUCAUGUCAUCACACGUGGUGGAGCCCUCAUUGAACCUCGGCCACUUCACCCACUUCGGCAUAGGCUGUCUGAUUUAAAACUUUAAAUAUAUGGUACUUUUGUUUUCAUGAUACCAAUUUUAUAAUUUUUAUUUUCAUUCUAGUUUUGUCAUUUCAUUUUUUUUUAAAUGUUAUAUAUCGAACUAUUUAUUUUAUUUUAUACCAUGGUAAAUAUAUUAGGAGUAGAAAAUUAAUCUAAUAUUGUAUAUUAGAAUUGAAGGUUAGUGUCACCAUUGAGAAUAUAGAUAUUUGGUUAAAAAGACUUUGAAUGAUUUUGAAAUGGAAAUAAUAACCUCUCAUUUAUUCUUUUAAAAAAUGAUAUACUUUGGACAAUAUUGUCCUUUUUGUUUUCUCAAAAAUAAUAAUUUCUUACCAUUUUUCUCUCAUUUAUAAGACUAGUUCUCUUCAUGCUUUCUUCCUUUUUAGGAAAACUCAUAACAAAGAUCAAUAGAUCAAAAUCAAUCAUAAUUUUCUCAUCUUUCUUUCUAUUCAUCUUUUUUUUUUUUUUUUUUGUUAGAGUUUUUGUGGUUGUUUUUUGCAAUGAAUUUUUUUUUUGGAAUUUUUCUAAUUUUUUUGUUGAGAUUCUUGUGGUUGUUUUUUUGUUGUUGUUUUCUAUUGUGAUUUUUCUUAUAUGUUUUUUUGUAGAGAUUUUGGUUGAGGGUUUUUUUUUUUUUUUUUUUUUUUGUGGUGGGAUUUUGGUUAGUGUUUUUUUUUUCUCAUUAUUUUUUUGUAGGGUUUUUUGUAAAUGUUUUAUGAUGAGAUUUUGGUUGAGAUAUUUUUGUGGCAAUAUUUUGGUCGAAGUUUUUUUGUGGCUGCUAUUGUAGGUUAUUUUUUUUUUUUUGGAUUUUUUGUUGCUAUUUAAACUUCUAAAACAUGAAGAUGAUUGUGGAGUCGUGCGAUCUAGUAUUUAAGUUCAUACCGAACAUUUUAAUUAAGAAUGUAAUCGAGUUUAUAGGUUUCCAACCUA
rnacentral:lncRNA from 1 species